CGACUGGGGCGGUACAUCUCUCAAAUAAUAACGGAGGUGUCCCAAGGCCAGCUCAGUGCGGACAGAAACCACACAUAGAGCAAAAGGGCAAAUGCUGACUUGAUCUCGGUGUCCAGUACACACAGAGACAGCAAAAGCUCGGCCUAUCGAUCCUUUUGGUUUAAGGAGUUUUUAACAAGAGGUGUCAGAAAAGUUACCACAGGGGUAACUGGCUUGUGGCGGCCAAGCGUUCAUAGCGACGUCGCUUUUUGAUCCUUCGAUGUCGGCUCUCCCUAUCAUUGUGAAGCAAAAUUCACCAAGCGUUGGAUUGUUCACCCAUGCAAGGGAACGUGAGCUGGGUUUAGACCGUCGUGAGACAGGUUAGUUUUACCCUACUAAUGACAAAUUGUUGUUGCGACAGCAUUCAUGCGUAGUACGAGAGGAACCGCAUGUACGGACCUAUGGCACAAUACUUGUUCGAGCGAACAGUGGUAUGAUGCUACGUCCGUUGGAUUAUGCCUGAACGCCUCUAAGGUCGUAUCCGUGCUGUACUGCAAUGAUAAAAAUGGGGCAAUUGCAUUGUAUGGCAACUAAAUCAUUUUAAAGUUUAUAAAAUUUAAUUUAUAAACGACAUUAUGAAUUUGUGAUGCCAAUGUUAAAAAGUAAUAUAGCAAGUGUGCGUAUAUGAAUAAUACCCGCAUGAAGCGCUUAAUUACUUAGAUAAAACAUUAUUAAUACAAUGACAAAGCCUAGAAUCAAUUGUAAACGACUUUGGUAACGGGCAAGGUGUUGUAAGUGGUAGAGCAGCUGCCAUACUGCGAU
rnacentral:rRNA from 1 species